rnacentral:rRNA from 1 species
AUUGAACGCUGGCGGCAUGCUUUACACAUGCAAGUCGAACGGCAGCGCGGGCUUCGGCCUGGCGGCGAGUGGCGAACGGGUGAGUAAUGCAUCGGAACGUGCCCAGUAGUGGGGGAUAGCCCGGCGAAAGCCGGAUUAAUACCGCAUACGACCUGAGGGUGAAAGAGGGGGACCGAAAGGCCUCGCGCUAUUGGAGCGGCCGAUGUCGGAUUAGCUGGUUGGUGGGGUAAAGGCUUACCAAGGCGACGAUCCGUAGCUGGUCUGAGAGGACGACCAGCCACACGGGGACUGAGACACGGCCCAGACUCCUACGGGAGGCAGCAGUGGGGAAUUUUGGACAAUGGGGGCAACCCUGAUCCAGCCAUGCCGCGUGCGGGAAGAAGGCCUUCGGGUUGUAAACCGCUUUUGUUCGGGAAGAAAUCCUCUGGGCUAAUACCCCGGGGGGAUGACGGUACCGGAAGAAUAAGCACCGGCUAACUACGUG